rnacentral:rRNA from 1 species
UGGGGAAUAUUGGACAAUGGGCGAAAGCCUGAUCCAGCCAUGCCGCGUGUGUGAAGAAGGCCUUUUGGUUGUAAAGCACUUUAAGUGGGGAGGAAAAGCUUAUGGUUAAUACCCAUAAGCCCUGACGUUACCCACAGAAUAAGCACCGGCUAACUCUGUGCCAGCAGCCGCGGUAAUACAGAGGGUGCAAGCGUUAAUCGGAAUUACUGGGCGUAAAGCGCGCGUAGGUGGUUAUUUAAGUCAGAUGUGAAAGCCCCGGGCUUAACCUGGGAACUGCAUCUGAUACUGGAUAACUAGAGUAGGUGAGAGGGGAGUAGAAUUCCAGGUGUAGCAGUGAAAUGCGUAGAGAUCUGGAGGAAUACCGAUGGCGAAGGCAGCUCCCUGGCAUCAUACUGACACUGAGGUGCGAAAGCGUGGGUAGCAAACAGGAUUAGAUACCCUGGUAGUCCACGCCGUAAACGAUGUCUACCAGUCGUUGGGUCUUUUAAAGACUUAGUGACGCAGUUAACGCAAUAAGUAGACCGCCUGGGGAGUACGGCCGCAAGGUUA